AACGAACGCUGGCGGCGCGCCUAACACAUGCAAGUCGAACGAGAAGGCGUAGCAAUACGCUUGUAAAGUGGCGAACGGGUGAGGGACACGUGGGUAACCUACCCUCGAGUGGGGAAUAACCAACCGAAAGGUUGGCUAAUGCCGCGUACGCUUCCAUCUCUUUGGAGGUGGAAGGAAAGCUGUACCGUGGGUACAGCGCUCAAGGAUGGGCUCACGUCCUAUCAGCUUGUUGGUAGGGUAACGGCCACCAAGGCAACGACGGGUAGCUGGUCUGAGAGGAUGGCCAGCCACAUUGGGACUGAGACACGGCCCAGACUCCUACGGGAGGCAGCAGUGGGGAAUAUUGCGCAAUGGACGAAAGUCUGACGCAGCGACGCCGCGUGUGGGAUGACGGUCUUCGGAUCGUAAACCACUGUCGGGAGGGACGAAUACGCCGCAAGGCGGGUGACGGUACCUCCAAAGGAAGCACCGGCUAACUCCGUGCCAGCAGCCGCGGUAAG
rnacentral:rRNA from 1 species